rnacentral:rRNA from 1 species
GACGAACGCUGGCGGCGCGCCUAACACAUGCAAGUCGAACGAGCGAGAGAGAGCUUGCUUUCUCGAGCGAGUGGCGAACGGGUGAGUAACGCGUGAGGAACCUGCCUCAAAGAGGGGGACAACAGUUGGAAACGACUGCUAAUACCGCAUAAGCCCACGGUGCCGCAUGGCACAGAGGGAAAAGGAGCAAUCCGCUUUGAGAUGGCCUCGCGUCCGAUUAGCUAGUUGGUGAGGUAAUGGCCCACCAAGGCGACGAUCGGUAGCCGGACUGAGAGGUUGAACGGCCACAUUGGGACUGAGACACGGCCCAGACUCCUACGGGAGGCAGCAGUGGGGAAUAUUGCACAAUGGGGGAAACCCUGAUGUAGCGACGCCGCGUGGAGGAAGAAGGUCUUCGGAUUGUAAACUCCUGUUGUUGGGGAAGAUAAUGACGGUACCCAACAAGGAAGAGACGGCUAACUACGUG